GCGGAAGAAAUGAUCCACUAUAGCAGCCAACUUAUACUGUGGAAAUGAGAGCGUUUUUCACAUUCAAUAUUAUGUUUGGUGUUAAACAGCUUCCUCCAUUGUAGAACUACUGGAGUUCUGAUAUAAGGUAUGGUGAUCUAAAUAUAAGUUAUAGU